rnacentral:lncRNA from 10 species
GCUGCUUCCCGGGCUGGCGUCCGGGCCGGCGUCCGGGCCCAGGCGACCGGGGCCUCCGAGCUCAGAGGCAGUGCCGAGGACCGAAGGAGGGGAAGGGAUUCCCCAAAGGCAUCCCUGACUCCCGAAUUCCAGCAAGGGAGAAUCAGGCGCUGGGGAGGCAAGGAGAGGGCCGCGGCUCUCCUCGGGGGCCGCGGGGCGCGACUCUUCCAGGACCUCGGCUGCUUUUCCCAGUAAAGCCCAGGCGGCCCGAGGCUGGCCGAGGGAGCGACCCUCUCCUGCCUCUUCUGGAAGGGCCGCUUCCCCGCCCUGCUGUAGACCCCGAGCUCCCUGGGGGAAGGACCCGCUCCUUCCAUCCUCCACCCUCCCGAGCACCAGCCUGGGAAGGAGGGGAUCCCAGUUCCUCCUUAGAGGCGACUCCUUUAUCAAGUCUGAUUUAGACAUGGGCUCGUCCAAGGUCGUUCAGCAGCGAGUAGCGGAGCUGGGGCUGCACCGAGGAGCUCAGGCCCCACUCCGUGUUGCGGUCAAGACCAGAUUUUGGGGUCAGCUUCUCAAACUCAGCACUACCAGCACCAAACUAAACUACCUGGCCCCUCCUCCCGAGAGAGGGUUCAUUCUCAAUCAAAUCGGAACCUCAGUUUUUCUCUCCUGCUUUCCGUCCGCUUCCCUCGUCCUCCCUUGACCAUACUUUUAUGCUUCAUCUUUUCCAUCCAACCCGUCUUUCCAGCCCUCCCUCAGCCGUACUGCCGCAAACCUGUGUCGUUGCAACAACCUGCAACCUUGCCUGCCUCUCCCUUUUAUUUCACGUGAAACUCCACUACAAGGAGUCCCCAAAUCCUUGCCUCAGGCCGAGGUGGGUGGAUACCUGAAGUCAGGAGUUCAAGACCAGCCUGACCAACGCGGUGAAAC